UCGGCUCCUUCUUCAAGUGGGGGGUUAUUCGGGGAUUGGCUGGAGAAGAACACUGCUACAGUCCUCCACUGAGUAUUAGUUUGGGCUGGGUAGCAUUAGGUCUUUUUCUUGAGACAGGAUUUAUUCAGUUCUUCCCUUAGUGGAAUGCGGGCACUUGCUGUUCAGUGGAGGAUGCGAAUCUAUUACAUACUUGCUGGUCUCUGUAAUAUUAGGGGGUUAUUCGGAGCCUGGCUGCUUAUAUGUGGCGUGUUUUUUCCAUUUUUGGGAUAAGGAUACUGAAGAGUUUUGAGGUGUUUUAUUUGUGUUUAAGGGUAUGGUGUUGACUUCUGUGUACUCACUCUGACAUUUUCAGGUGAGGUUGGGCAGGCACGUUUCAGGGGCUGCUGCCCCAAUACUGCCCCCCCCCUCCUGCUCCGCUCUUCUAACUAACAGCGUCAGAGCAGGUGGAGGAGGGGCCGCAUCGCUAGUGCAGUGAGCACUAGUGUAGUGAGCGCUAUUGUGCUCGCUGCACUAGAAGAGCCGAAUUUCCAUUUUAAAAAACGGAAAUUCGUCUCUUAAAGUUACCAGAGGCGGCUUUUUGACACCCUCGGUAAGUGGCCGCUCCGUGCCACCUGAUGCAAGAUUUUCACCUUGCCUCAUGGCCGGAGCGGUCCUGAGGUUGGGUUGACUUGCUGCAAAAUUUUGAGCUAUGGGAAAGCGUUUUGGUGUGUGCUGAACUGCUGAUGUUUUUGGUGUUAGAUCAUUUUGGGGUAGGUUUUUGGUGUUCAUAGAAAUUCUGGAGUUUUUUUUCUUAAAAAAUCUUUCUUGGUGCUGUUUUGUUUUUUUACCCAGAAUUUUGAGGGGGAAUAUUGGGUCCUUUCAGGGACAUACGUAUUUAGAUGACACACAUUGACACACAUUUUAGAGCUGUACACACAUGCAUACACAAGCACACACUUUUUAAAAACUUUUUAAACUUGUUUUAUUUAGUUUUUUAUUUUAUGUUAUCAAUUUGCCUCUUGUUUUCUGUAGCAAUUACCUCGCAUUAAACUGGUAGUGUUUAUAAAUUACGGUAAAUGUAAGAUAUCAAAUUAUGUACAAGAUAGAUUUUUGGGUCUUUACAUGCUGUGUACUCAACUGACCAGUAGACACUGCCUGGCUGUAAUCUGCUCGAAUAUUGGAACGCACCAGCGCCCUGAACAAGACCUCUGCUGGCAGAGGAUUCCCACCUUCCAAACAUUGCUUCUUAGACUUAUGAAUGGCUAGUUUGGCUAAAGCCAGGAGCAAGUUGGAGAGAAGGUCUUGUCCUGGGAUACUGGACAUCCAAAAAUAAAAACAUGAGGGGAAAAGUGUAAUCAUAGAAGCAGGUGAAGUUUCCUUUAGAAGAGGUUGCAGUCUGGCACACAAAAAAUAGGCAUGAAACACAGACUCCCCUUUGCCACACAAUGGACAAGCAGCCGAGGGGUAUUUUAAACGAGCUAAGUACCCUCCUGUGCUCAAUGCACCAUGGAGCACUCUCCAACUCAAGUCUCCAGUGGGUCUGGGCACCAAACUGGAAAAAGUGCUUGCCACUGGUGUCUCUCGCCCUCAUUAAACACCAGCCUCCAGAUAGUAUAGUAGUGGGAGAAAAGGGCAAGGAAGUGUACAGUGUAUAGCAUGAGAGAAUACGGUAGCUUUCUUGUCAUGCCAUGAAAGCAUGUCAAAGUAAAAUUCUCCAACUGGCUCAAGUUGGGGGACGGAGGUGACUCAGGGGAUUGUUGGGGUCUUGGGUCCUGCUAUUCUGGCUGGAGGUGGAGAAUUCCAAGGUGGACGUGGCUCUCCAGAACAUAAUCAAUGAAUGUGUGAGAGUCAGGAGAGAGGGUGUCCUUGAUCUCCUGGAGCAGAUAAUGUGGAACCCUAUUGGUGAGGAAUCCCAUGUGCUGCAUAACUGCCUGAGCUUCCACCCAAUCUGACCUUCUUAAAUCCAGUAGAUCCCCAACUCUAGUUAGCUGAGCCCAGUGGUGGAUGCUGGUGGAUUCCAACAUCCUAGGCUUAAAAGAUUGGAAAGUAAGGGCUCAGUUAGAAUGUCCUCCCUUUGAAUGGAUUCUUGCCUUAACACAGAGACCAUGCUCCAGGACUUUAGAGUCUCUUGAUGGUAAGCCGGCAAUGGUGAGAUGCUUCUUAGGAAUCCUUCGGGUUGGUGACAAACAAUUGCUGGUCAUACCCCAUGUUGCAUACCUGGUGAUAAAAGCUGGAUUCUAGGAUACGCCACUGUGAAGAAGGAUCUGCAUACAAGUAUCUCUGUAUCUGCUGCAGACGGCUCCUCUCUCUGCAACCUCUCAGUUGGUCUGGUUCCCUUAUUCGGCUAUUGACCAUCUCCGGCAGGCUCUGGGCGAGAAUGAAAGUAACGGGCACAAUUAGGCUAUUCUGGGCAGAAUCUCUAGCAGGAGUUGGAUGAAUAUUUUGAGAAGCUGAAGAAAGCCACAGACUACAAAAAGUUAGUGCAGAAGCCGCUAUGGCGUAAAGCUGCUCAGUUAUAUAUAGAUGGAAACCAGGCCCCCGUGUUUAUAAGUCCGCGUAGAAUUCAUAAUAAUGUCAUUAGUUUUCUGUUUUGUACAAAAAAUAAACUAUUUUGUAUGUU